AUUACCACUAAAAAAAAUCAUGAUUUAUUCCUCUAUCUCUUAAUCAGAGCAAGAACAUCUCUUACACAAAUUCGAUAUCUUUAAGGUCCAAGACAGAGACAAACGUGGUCGUAAAGUUCUUCUCAUCAUCGGUAAAUACUUUCCUGCCCUGGGUCGUGGGUUGGUGCAGUCAAAAUUACCCUGGGGACGUCCCCGGAUAAGUUUUGAUCGUCCCCCAAUUCGAUCAGCCGUAUCCUGUCACCGUGGCACGUCUCUGAUACGUACCCCAAUCGUUCUCGAAUCGUCCCCGUACAAAAAACAUAUCGGGUACUUAAAACGGGCCUCUUUUGUGUCCCCGUGCUUCUUAGAUUUUCCAAAUCCAACAACACCGAGAUGGAGAAUGUCAGCUUAGAAUAACUUACUGCGAAAUUUAUGCAUAUUUUCAUUUUUGAUUUGUAAUUGAGGUGUAUUUGUAUUAUGGGUAUAGUACAUAAAUAAUUUCGAUUAUAGAGUGUUGUUUUAUUGAA